rnacentral:rRNA from 1 species
GAUGAACGCUGGCGGCGUGCCUAAUACAUGCAAGUCGAGCGAACAGACGAGGAGCUUGCUCCUUUGACGUUACCGGCGGACGGGUGAGUAACACGUGGAUAACCUACCUAUAAGACUGGGCUAACUUCGGGAAACCGGAGCUCAUACCGGAUAACAUGUUGAACCGCAUGGUUCAACAGUGUAAGACGGUCUUGCUGUCGCUUAUAGAUGGAUCCGCGCCGCAUUAGCUAGGUGGUAAGGUAACGGCUUACCAAGGCAACGAUGCGUAGCCGACCUGAGAGGGUGAUCGGCCACACUGGAACUGAGACACGGUCCAGACUCCUACGGGAGGCAGCAGUAGGGAAUCUACCGCAAUGGGCGAAAGCCUGACGGAGCAACGCCGCGUGAGUGAAGAAGGUCUUCGGAUCGUAAAACUCUGUUAUUAGUGAAGAACAAAUGUGUAAGUAACUAUGCACGUCUUGACGGUACCUAAUCAGAAAGCCACGGCUAACUACGUG